UACGAGAGGUACAAGCGUUAUUCGGAAUAAUUGGGCGUAAAGGGCGCGUAGACGGCGUAUUAAGUCUGUUGUUAAAUUCUUCGGCUCAACUGAAGACCCGCAACGGAAACUGGUAUGCUAGAGUGUGGGAGAGAGAAGUGGAAUUCUUGGAGUAGCGGUAAAAUGCGUAGAUCUCAAGAGGAACACCGAUGGCGAAGGCAGCUUCUUGGUCCACUACUGACGUUGAGGCGCGAAAGCGUGGGGAGCAAACAGG
rnacentral:rRNA from 1 species